UGGCUCGCUUUGAAAGCACAUAGACUAAGACUGGAAUAAUAUGGAGAAGACUAGCAUGGCCCCUGCAAGGUUGACAAGCACAAUCAUGAAGUGCUUCAUACAUUU
rnacentral:snRNA from 1 species